UACGUAGGGGGCAAGCGUUGUCCGGAAUUAUUGGGCGUAAAGAGCGUGUAGGCGGUCCGGUAAGUCAGCUGUGAAAGUCAAGGGCUCAACCCUUGAAAGCCGGUUGAUACUGUCGGGCUAGAGUCCGGAAGAGGCGAGUGGAAUUCCCGGUGUAGCGGUGAAAUGCGCAGAUAUCGGGAGGAACACCAGUGGCGAAGGCGGUGGUCUGGGCCGGAACUGACGCUGUAGAGCGAAAGCGUGGGGAGCGAACAGG
rnacentral:rRNA from 1 species